rnacentral:lncRNA from 1 species
CUUCUUCCCUCCCUAUUUGGAUUCCUUUUAUUCCUUUUUCUUGCCUGAUUGCUCUGGCCAGGACCUCCAGUACUAUGUUAAAUAAGAGUGGUGAUAGAGGGCAUCCUUGUCUUGUUCCUGUAUUCAGGGGGAUGGGGUUCAGUUUUUGCCCAUUGAGUAUGAUGUUGGCUAUGGGUUUGUCUUAAACUCACUUUUUUAGGCCUUUGUUCAAAUGUCACCUUAGGAAGGCUUUCUCUGACCGCCUAUUGAAAAUCACAGAUAUUACCCACUAAGGUACCAUCGCCUGCUUCUGCUUUACUUUUCUCUAUAGCACUUUUCACUCCGUUUUUAAUACUAUUGAGUGUGAUUAUUUAUUGCCUCUUCCCCCUGCUGGAAGCCAGCUCUGUGGGGACAGGAAUUUUACUCACUGCUACAUCCCCAGUGCCUAGAACAGUACCUGAUUCCUAGUCAGCAUCACUGCAGUUUUGCUGAAUGAAUGAAAUACCCAAACUCACUUGUAAUUGGAAAAUAAAGUACAUUUUUCUCACUAUAUUAGAAAAGAAAGAAAAAAGGAAAGGAGGGAAGAAGGAAGAGAAAAAUGAAUGAUAAUUCAUCCGAAUAGACAAUCUGUUAUAGUAAAACUGCAAAACAGUUGUUGGCACUGUAAGCUAAUUUAACCUUAUUGGAGAAAGAGUCUGUCAACGUGAAUACUGAGCCAUUAAUAACAACUAUAUUCUUGGACCCAAAAAUACAACUUAGCACCUAGGCUUUGAUUUCUAAAUACCGUUCUCUGACAAAAGGAAUCAUGGUUCCUUGGAGACACAGUGGAUUCCAGGACUGGAACAGGUAAGAUUCAAGUUAUGCCAGAAGGGAAGGAAGGGCCCCUCCAAAAAAAGGAUGGGGGACCUGUUGAAAGUGCAUGGAAGUCAACCUGAAAGAGCUCCCAAUGGCCAAGGCUUGAACAAUUUGAGCAAUAAAAUAAGUAAGAAUAGUACUGGAUUAAAACCCAAAGGUUAAAAUAAAUAUCCCCGAGUCCAUACUGAUAUAAAUAAACUGGGGAGAAGGGACAACUCUUCUUUACAGAAGAAUUCCAGUUUAAAAAUAUAAGGAGUGAGGUAAAUAGAAAAUGACCAUUAGAACACCAUGGUAAUAAUUGCUGCAAGCAAGAGCCACUGAUGGAUGCUAAAAUUAGCAGGCAAAAGUUUAAGGAGAAACAUGACAUUUGUAUGCUCUCAAAGUAUCUCCUCUAAAUAAAUAUUAUUUACAAAGAGAAAAGUAGUAACUUUAAGGUAGAGAAACCUAGCAGACACCACCUUAAGCAAAUAAUUCAGGUUAAAACCAAUAAGAAGACACAUUGACAUGAUGUGCCCCCCAUAGGAUGCACCAAGAGUGCCGUGACCCCUGCGAGAUUCUUCCCAGUAAUGUAGAAUCUCAACCUAAUCACAAGAAAACAUCAGAGACACCCAAAUCGGGAGACAGUCUACAAAAUAACUGUCGACCACUCUAAAAAUCCCAAGGUCGUAAAAGAUAAAGACUGAGGAACUGUCACAUUCUUGGAGGCAAGUAAGGAGAUGUGACAACUAAAUACAAUGUGGAUUUGGGAUUGAUCCCAGAACACAAGAAGGACAUUAUUGGGAAAAAAACUGAUGAAAUCAGAACAAAGUCUGUAGUUUAAUUAAAACAAUUGCACCAAAUGUUAGUUUUUUCGUUUCAAUAAUUGUACUAUAGUUAUUUAAGAUGUUAACAUUAGGGAGAAGCU